UGCGAGCGCGUAUUAGUCUGU
rnacentral:miRNA from 1 species